rnacentral:sRNA from 1 species
UAAGGACAGAAAAGUGAAAUGCAGUAUGGUGAAGAGGAUACCCUGAAUAUGUAUGAAGACAUGCUGUACAGUUGUGAGACGGAGGCCACAGAAGCUGUUGUGAAGGCAGAGCAGCAUCUGCUGAAGAGACAGAAACCAGCCCCAGAGGUGUCACAAGAAGGCACCAGCAAGGACAUUGGUCU